rnacentral:lncRNA from 1 species
CUGUCGAACUCAAUCAGGCUCACAUAAGCUAUAGUCAAUGCAAAUGGGUCAAACUGGUCCAACAAUCAAGACUCACAUGCUCGCGGCACAAUCUGAAACAAGAUGUAAACAUCUGGGUCCACUAUCAACAACGACAGUACCCGACAAUACGGAACAGUCCAAACACUACUGUAAAACGAGCUCGGCCCCUCAGCACAAGCAUAAUCUCAACCUACACUAAUUUGAGUAUUCGCUACGCACUAACAGUAGGGAUACAAAAGAAUAACAGCUCCUGAAGCUAAUUCUGAU